GAGGCUAAACAAGAAGAGUUCCUACAGGAGAUACCGGAGUAGGACGAAGCGACGUGAGUCGCUUUUCCACUCCCUUUUGUUGUUUCCGUCCAGCGUCUCCUCGAGCUUUCAUAGGUAAGCCUCUUGACAAUGUCUCUCCCAGUUAAACACCUCCAAUGAAUCAAACGAUUAGGUAAACCCUUCUGAUAGGUUCAACGGUCUCUCGAGUUCCCGCGACUCCAUAGAACCUCCGCGCCUGUACCACAGGUCACUCAACUAUUUUAGUCUGGGAAGUAGCAACUCGCGGUCUCAGACGUCUGGUGUCGACGGUUCUAUGAGCUAACGUCUCGCAUUAAGAAACUUCUAAAAUGAUAGGAAGU
rnacentral:rRNA from 1 species